rnacentral:rRNA from 1 species
UACGUAGGGGGCAAGCGUUGUCCGGAUUUAUUGGGCGUAAAGAGCGUGUAGGCGGCUAGGUAGGUCCGUUGUGAAAACUCGAGGCUCAACCUCGAGACGUCGAUGGAAACCAUCUGGCUAGAGUCCGGAAGAGGAGAGUGGAAUUCCUGGUGUAGCGGUGAAAUGCGCAGAUAUCAGGAAGAACACCCGUGGCGAAGGCGGCUCUCUGGUACGUGACUGACGCUGAGACGCGAAAGCGUGGGGAGCAAACAGG